UGCGUAGGCGGAUUAAUAAGUCAGUGGUGAAAUCUUUCGGCUCAACCCAGAAACUGCCAUUGAUACUGUUAAUCUUGAGUUCGGUUGAGGUAGGCGGAAUGUGUAAUGUAGCGGUGAAAUGCUUAGAUAUUACACAGAACACCAAUUGCGUAGGCAGCUUACUAGACCGACACUGACGCUGAGGCACGAAAGCGUGGGGAGCGAACAGGAUUAGAUACCCUGGUAGUCC
rnacentral:rRNA from 1 species